AGAGGGAGGAGUUAAGGAGACAGACAGAGAGAGAGAGAGAUCUGAGGAGAAGAGGGAGAACCAAAAUGGAGGCUGACGUGGUGUUAUCAAAGAGACUCUUGUGCUGCGUGACCCCUGACUGUAACCAAGUGUCCUUCUCUCUGAGACGUUCCCUCGGAGCUUGUUCUCACAGCCCUCACCUCCAGUGACCUCCACGAACUUUUCCACACGAGGGGUUCUCUGCUUCCCUCCAUCUGAGCUGCGCAAUUCCACCAGGCCUUUUGCUCCUCUUCAGUCAGGUGCUUUGGAGGUAAUGAAGUCUUUCGGGGGAAAAAUAAACAAAGGAAAUGCACCCGGUUGAUGUCAAUGGACUUGUUUAACUAUUUAAGGCCACUGUCUCCAAGUGUAAGUGUGCUGCGGUGUGUUUUGUAAAGUAGCGCUUAUAAUCCACUGAGCUUUCCAAACAGCCCUCUUGCCUAUUAAGCCUGCAUUGAGAAGUGGGUUUAAUUUGCCAGAGUAGUUUUUUGUGAUAAUUACAGGACUUGCAGAUUAGCUUGAGUGACUUGGCAAGGUUCUGUAGCUAAUAAAAAAUCACACAGGAAAAAAAUUGUAACAUUCAAUUGCUUCAAGGUUCUUCACGAGAGAAACAUUAAACAAACCUGAUAGGCCAGUUUCCAGUCUGUGAAACUGCACCGAAGGCUUGCUCACAUGAUUGAGGUCAGAUUGCGUUCUCCACUCUUACACUACCCAGAAUCCCCUUCCCAAGGACUAGUGCCACUGCAAUGGGCAAGUUCCCCACCUCAAUAAAGAUAACCCUACAUCAUAUUUUACAGCAGGACUUUGGGUCCCUAACCUGCAACUCAGCACUCAGUCCAUCAUGGGCUUUGCUAGUCUCUGUGACUUCUCCAGGGCAGGAAAGUGACAGGUUUCUGCGCAAGGGAGCCCGAGGUACCUGGUUCAGGAUGGAGAGGGCACUUGAGAGGCGUCAAAAGCAAGCACAGUUAGAGGACAUCAGCGAUGUUAAAACCCCACGAGGGUCAACAGUAGCCCAGGCAAAAUAAAGGAGCCUGAAGUGGAAAAACAGAAAUGGAACAAGACGUUUGUUCUGGAGCACGUGAGAUUGUCCUUCUAAGACAUUUCCAGAAGUAUUCAAAGGAAGAUUUAAUGGGAAAUCAUUAUGCAAAAGAGUCAGUAAUAUAUUUUAGUUUCAAAAAGUACGGAGCGUGACGCCUGUCAAUUAUACCUUCUGCAAAGGUGAGUGGCGGUUGUCCUUGCUGUUCCAAAAUGCAAAGAGAAACAAACAAACAAACAAACAAGCAAACCAGCUACUCCUAUUCCGCACUCCAAACACCAAGCAGAAAUGCUUCUGGGACAAACUGAGCUUCAUUCUUUAUGAAAAUGAAAACACUUCUUUCUGUGCACUAGGAAAAUGUUCUGCCUCUGAGCUGCAAAACCAGCACCAAACUUGAAAAGUUUGUGCAUCAAAGGAAAAAGGCAACCUACAGGAUGGGGGAGAAUAUUUGCAGGACACAUGUCCUGGAAGGAAUACAUAUUUAGACUGAAUAAAAUGAGUAAGAGGAGGGAUAGGGAGUUCGUGUUCAAUGUUGAGAGCUUGGGACAGUUGAGAAAACGCUCCGGAGUGUUCUGCAGAUGAAUGAUGGUGACGACUGCAUCAGUGUGAAUGUCCUUAACGCCGUCAAAAAUUGGUUAUAAUGGCAAAUUUUAUGCUACAUAUGUUUUACUACAAUAAAAAUGCCAGGAAAAUCUAACUGCUCCAAAUCCUGAAUUUAUUAACCCAAUAAAUUAGGAGAUGGUUAUUGACCUAUAAAUGGAUUUGUCAAUUUUUAAAAUGAUUUCCUUUAAAUUGAAUUCUUUCCUAGAGCUUUAUUGUCUCUUCACAAACCAUUAAACACUUGUUAAAGUGUUCAGAGAGGGCUGAGAUGGAGGAGGAAGUGAAAACCAAACAAACAGAUGAGGGACCUUCCCCAAAUGAUGUCUGCUAACAGGCUUCUUGGGUAUUCUAUUUAUAUAGAUUUUACAAGUGUUUUAUUUGAGAGGAAAAAUCCCUAGACCUUACAUAGUACAAUGAACUUCUUAUGCCUGUCAGCUAGAUUUAUUAAUUUUUAACGAGGUGUAUUACUUUUAAAAGCUAUCUAUUUACUAUUGGGGGAGGGAGAAGGACAAAGGACAUCUUGCAGAAGUCUGGUCUCUCCUGCUAUGUGGGUUCUGGAGAUAGGAAAUCAGGCAGGUUGUCAGGCCUAGAAGCAAAGGCCUGUCUGCACUGAGCCAUCUUACUUGUCUUAUUUUGUUACUUUUGAUGACCUAUUUUAGACAUCACUAUUCUAUAGCCCUAAGUAUAACUUCAAGUAUGUAUCUUCCACAAUGACUUUAUGACCAUGAAAUCAAUUCAAGAAAUUUAACAUGUAUGCAGUUCUAUCCAGCGUACAUACAGAUUUCUCAUCCCCCCUUUUACUGUAGUUUAUAGAAAAAGCAAUUCUCUUCCAUAUCUAGAGUUUGACAAGGAAUAUGCAUUGCAUUUGGUUUCUGUGUUCUUUAAUCUCUUGUUGUACAGAACUUCAACCUUUCAUGACAGGUUGAACAAUUUUGGAUCAUACAGGCUGUCAUGGUUUGAAUAUGUUUGGCCCAGGGAGUGGUACUGUUAGGGGUGUGGUCUUCUUGGAAUAGGUGUGUCACCGUGGGCGUGGGCUUUAAGACCCUCAUCCUUAGCUUCUGGAAGUCAGUCUUCCACUAGCAACCUUCAGAUGAAGAUGUAGAACUCUCACCAUCUCCUGCACUAUACCUGCCUGGAUAUCGCCAUGUUCCUGCCUUGAUGAUUAUGGACUGAACCUCUGAACCUGUAAGCCAGCCCCAAUUAAAUUUGUCCUUAUAAGAGUUACCUUGGUCAUGGUGUCUGUUCACAGCAGUAAAACCCUAACUAAGACACAGGCCAAUUACAGAAUGUCUCUUUUUGGUGUGUGCAGUGUUAAAGUUUGAAGCACAAGCCUAAUGCUUGUUAGACAAGCACUCUACCGCUGCUCUACAUCAGCAGCUCAGUGUGCCUCUUGUCUUGAUGGGCUCAUUGUUUUUUAUGACCCAGUGCAUUGGGGUGAGCAGCUCACACAGGUACGAAGGGGUCCCUCUCAGAGCUUAACAUCAGGGAACUCAAUGUUGGUUUGUCUGUUCUAUUUCAGCUGAGCUAGUAUCUGGCAGUUCCCCACAACCCCCAUCAAGUUACCACUUUUUUCUUUGUAAUUGUAAUUUGCAAAGAAAUAUUUGCAAGAUUAAGUAAUAGACUACACAACGUGUUUUAGCUUCCACUGAGCAUUCAGCCUGAACUGUUUUAUAAAGUUAUGAAAUGAUAGAUUUCCAACUUAAUAAUUAUUUUAAAGACUUAUUUUAUUUUUAGUUCUGCAUGUAUGCCUGUGUGUGCACGUGUGUACCUAUGUAUCUGUAUGGUUAUGUGCACAUGAAUGCAGAUGUCCAAGGAGAAGAGGCCAGACACAUUGGAUCCCUGGUGCUCAAGUGGGAGGUGGCUGUCAGCUGCUGUAGGAAGGUGAUGGGAACUCAGCUUGAGUCCUUUGCAAGAACAGCAUGAGCUCUUAAACACAGAGCCACAUCUUCAGUCCCUCUCUUAUUUUUUUAAAAAUUAUUCUCUCUCUGUGUAUGUGUGUGUAUACAGAGGUCAGAGGAUCAUUUUUGUAAAAUUAGUUCUCUCUACCUUUUUUUGUGGGCUCUGGGGACUAAACUCAAGUUGUUGGGAUUUUGUGACAAGUGCUGUAUCCACUGAGCCCUCUCACAUGCCCUUAAAUGUUAUUUUAAAUAAUAGCAAAUGAGUACGUUCAAGCAUACGAGAAUAAGCAUGUCCUAUUGAUUUGAAUAUGCAAAAGUAUGCCAAUUUUUUAAAUCUCUAUUACCAAGUGGACAAGUAUUCCAUUUUAUCUCCAAAAGUAAAGAUUUCUUUUAGAUACAGUCAUGUGGAUUAUACAACUUGACUGAAGCCAUGUCUCCAAGAUACAUACCUAGAGGGUAAAGGGAAUGCUUUAAAGGAGCGUGAUUAUGAAUAUCCAAGCUGAAAAUAAACACUAAUUACUAACAAAAAGGAUUACUGAGAAAAAUAUGGGUUGGUUUUCAGUACUUGACUCUGUAAAGUUAUUUCUUUUCUUAUUUAGUUUUUAUUCAUAAUCAUAAACUUAACUUUGCCAUCCAGCUAGACUUGAAGGGGAAUGAGGAAAAUAUGGAACCCAAAGAACUUGAGCAGAGAUUACAGGGUAUUUCAAGCAGAUGGGGUAGGGAUGCUCUCCUGCGCUACAGAAGGAAUGGUUGGAUGGGUAAAAUGCCUGCAAGUCAAAAGAAAUUAGAGUUAUCCACAGUCGGAAAUGGUCUUGCUGGUCUUUCCAUUCCUGGACCCAAAACACUCCAUGGCUUCCACAAUGUUCAUGCCUUCUUUCACCUUCCCAGACACCACAUGCUUGCCAUCCAGCCACUUAGUCUUGGCAGUGCAGAUAAAAAACUGGGAACCGUUUGUGUUGGUCCAGUAUUUGCCAUGGACAAGAUGCCAGGACCUGUAUGCUUCAGGAUGAAGAUCUCAUCCUCAAAUUUCUCUCCAUAGAUGGAUCUGCCGCCAGUGCCAUUAUGGCAUGUAAAGUCACCACCCUGGCACAUGAAUCCUGGAAUAAUUCUGUGAAAGGAGGAACCCUUCUAGUAAAAUCCUUUCUCUCCAGUGCUCAGAGCAUGAAAGUUUCCCGCUGUCUUUGGAACUUUGUCUGCAAACAGCUGGAAGGAGACUCUUCAAGGGCUCGUCAUCGGCCGUGAUGUCAGAGAACACGGUGGGGUCGACUGUGGCUACAGCAAGAGGACCAACGGUACUGUUGCUCUAGCUACAGGAAUAAUCCUGGGCAGCACUUGUUGACCUUGGUCACUGUCAAGGGAAGAUCGGCUGUUCCCACUGAGGGCAUCUUGAUGGAUUAAGGUGAUCAGCUGAUCAAUGUGAGGGGACAGAUGGGAGCUAGGAACUGUCUCGGUACUGAGUCAUUUUUCAUCUAAUGUGCAAGAAACCCAAAGAGCACAUCAAACAGCGAACUACGCCUAAGCUAUCCAUGUUUCUCCUGCUUCUUCUGAGAGGGUGAUUUACACGUAGCUCAACACUCGAGUGUUGCAGUAUCGAGUGACUGCAACCAAACAAUGGAACAUGCAUCGUGCCUGUUGACAGAGCCUGCAGUUGGCUUGGAACCGGGACCAUGCUGCAUUCGACAUCGUUCCUGGUGGCUGACUUGUUCCCAUAGAAUUAAAUGCUAGGCAUCCAGAAGCUGACUGUGCAUCUGAUGGGCUCACUAACAUUCAGGAACAGGUUGGCCUCAGACUUCAUCAAUGGAAAGUGUAGGCAUAGGACAAAAAAAAGAGCACGUUUGAAAGACUACAUUUUCAUGAAAUUGGAAAUGCUACAUGCAAGCUGCAGAUGCUGAUUGCAGAGUCAGAAGACAUGGCCGUCAGUGUUAGGACUCUGCCUUAUUCUGCUAUUUCUCCUUGACGACCUACAGUUUGCAUUGUGGGUGGCAUUCAUUAACGAGGGCAGUAAAAACAUGGAGAAAACAUUGCAAGCUCUCCUUCGUGUUUCGCUCACUGGCCAAGUAGCUAACCAACUAGGUGUUCAGGCUCCCAUGUGUCUCAAUAUGAUGUGGCUCCUUCCAGUAGCAACCAUCCUGAGCAGAGACCUUUGUUCUAAUUUAAAAAUUAGACAUGAUAUAGAGCUUACCACACAUUUUUCCCCCUGAAGAUUAAAGAUCUUCAUGAAGGUACUGGCUUAAAAGACAUCAACCCCAAGCCUUUCGAAGGAUAUGCACUUGAGAUUGCCAUACUCGAUGGUGCGUCCAAUUAACUUAGAAAUACCCUUGACAUUUCUCAUCCGUGAAGAGAAGCUUUAGGUGACAGUUUUCAUGGUGUGGGUACUCUCGGUGCCUAAUUUGCUUUUUUUUCUUGUUUUCAAGCCUGAAAGGGAAAUAGCCUUGGCUUUCAGCUCUGGAGCGCGAUGCCCUCCUUACGAGUAUUCAGCUACUGUCUGAACCAUUGUACUUGCCUUCCCCUCCAUACCCCUUUUUCCCCAAAGUCCCGUUGAUAGCUCAUU
rnacentral:lncRNA from 1 species